GGCGGUGUUUGAGUAGGCAGACCAGGAGAUGAGUGACCAAAUCUACGGUGGUCCUCCUCUGCCUGGUUUUAUGAUUUUCUCCAGCCAAGCUGAGCUGCUCUAAAACAGGUGUGAAGACAAAAGGCAGAUGCAGUUCUGGGAAUCCUCUGAUCAGAGCAUGAAACCAGGAAAACAUUUUCAAAAGGGAAGGAACAAGAUAACAUUCCUUCCUGGAUCCUUUAAGACAAUGAAAAGAGGGAAAAAAUGAAAACAUUUUCCUCGUGACGAGAACCCUUCGAAUUUACUCUCUUAACAGCCUUCCUAUACAUCAUACAGCAGUGUGGGCUGUGGUCAUCAUGUUGUACAU